GAAUAUUGCGCAAUGGGGGAAACCCUGACGCAGCGACGCCGCGUGAGUGAUGAAGGUUUUCGAGUCGUAAAACUCUGUUCUCAAGGAAUACAAAAAUGAAGGUACUUGAGAAGAAAGGACCGGCCAACUUCGUGCCAGCAGCCGCGGUAAUACGAGGGGUCCAAGCGUUGUUCGGAAUCAUUGGGCGUAAAGCGGGUGUAGGCGGACCAAUAAGUCAGAAGUGAAAGCCCUGGGCUCAACCCAGGAAGUGCUUUUGAUACUGUUGGUCUUGAGUGUGCGAGAGGGUGGUAGAAUUCCUGGUGUAGUGGUGAAAUACGUAGAUAUCAGGAGGAACACCGGUGGCGAAGGCGGCCAACUGGCGCAACACUGACGCUCAGACCCGAAAGCGUGGGGAGCAAACAGG
rnacentral:rRNA from 1 species